UACGUAGGGGGCUAGCGUUGUCCGGAAUCAUUGGGCGUAAAGAGCGUGUAGGCGGCCCGGUAAGUCCGCUGUGAAAGUCGGGGGCUCAACCUUUGAAUGCCGCUGGAAACUGUCUGGCUAGAGUCCGGGAGGGGCGAGUGGAAUUCCUGGUGUAGCGGUGAAAUGCGCAGAUAUCAGGAGGAACACCAAUGGCGAAGGCAGCUCGCUGGAACGGUACUGACGCUGAGGCGCGAAAGCGUGGGGAGCGAACAGG
rnacentral:rRNA from 1 species